rnacentral:lncRNA from 1 species
UUUGCAAAGGAAACAGAAAAAAACAACAACAAAAAAAAACCAGAACAAAACUGAACAAAAUAAAGUGAAGACUUCAACACUUGGGGCUGUUCAGAAAGAAGCUCUCACCAUUUUAUAGCAUCAUUUUUUUUAGGCAGCAACACUGGCCUUGGCAAAAAAAAAAAAAAAAAAGUCACUUUCUUUUGUAUUUUUUUUUUUCUUUCAGUGAGUGCAUAACAUUUACAAAAAUACACACCAGCAGCAGUCGUUGCUAAGGGCUAUACUUCUGUACCUAGGCAAACACUCUGCCACCAAUAAAUGCUAACGAAUAUGAUGCAAAUGACCCAACCAAUUAUUAUACUUAACACAAACCAGCUUAUCCUUCAAAUGAAGAAGUUAACAUACCUUUGUUUCAAAAUAUAGAAACAUACGACGAAAAUAAUGUCUAUACAUAAGACUAACUUUUUGCAGUUUGUUAUAUUCACAAUUCUACAUCUUGGGCGCGAGGGGGGGGGGUGUGGAGGGGUUGGGGAAGGGGCCCUUUGGACAGGAGAGGAGCUGGACUGGGGCAAAAGGGGUGGAUAUCUCCUGGUUCAAGGGUCUCUCUCCUUUUUCACUUUAACAUCCCCAGCUAAGAUCGUCGCGAUUUCGCCCUGCAUGAAGGCCCAAGGUACAUUCGACCCAACUAGGGCCUUGAUACUCUCUCUAGAGCAAGGGAAGCAGAAUUUGUGGCUGGGAACGGAGGGGCACUGGACAAAAUGCGUGUCCUCCAAACGUUCGUGGCAAAUGGUACAGCAGAGAGGCCCGCUGUUGGCCAUAGGGGAAUCCGGAAUGUUUUGGGGAUGCACUUGGUCCAUGCCCGGGUGGGUGCUAGGCGGCGGGGGCGCCACCUGUAAAUUCAGGUCCCCGUUCCGCGACGUCAGGCGGCGCUGCCCAGGUACGGAGGCCGGUGACACCGGGCUGCUGCUGUUGCGCCGCGCGGAGGCCGUGGUGGAGUGCACCGAGCUGCCGUCCUUGGGCGAGUGCGCCGUGCCCAGAGUGUCUGCCACCGACAUGAGGGCGGCCAUGGGCGACGGACCGUUCUGA